UCAAGCUACAAAGAGCGCAAGGGGAAUGCCUUGGCACUGGGAGCCGACGAAGGACGUAGCGAUCUACGAUAAGCCACGGUGAGCCGAAAGCAGGCAUCGACCCGUGGAUUUCCGAAUGGGGCAACCUGGCUGAAUAGAACUCAGUCAACAUACGGUGAAUAAAAUAGUCGUAUGUAGGGAACCGCCUGAACUGAAACAUCUAAGUAGGGCGAGGAAAAGAAAUCAACCGAGAUUCCGCAAGUAGUGGCGAGCGAACGCGGAAGAGGCCAAACCGAGAGUAGUAAUACUUUCGGGGUUCGGACAGAAUACGGCAUUGUAAAGGUUUAGUGGAAUGGAAUGGGAAGUCCAACCGAAGAAGGUGAGAGUCCUGUACACGAAAAGCCUGAACAGCCAUCUGUAUCCAGAGUACCGCCGGACACGUGAAACCCGGUGGGAAUACGGGGGGACCAUCCUCCAAGCCUAAAUACUACUCGGUGACCGAUAGUGAAGAAGUACUGUGAAGGAAAGGUGAAAAGUACCCCUGACGGGGAGUGAAAAAGAACCUGAAACCUUGUGUUUACAAGCACCGAAAGCUCAUCAAAGAGCGAUCGGGUACCUUUUGUAGAAUGGUCCGGCGAGUGAAUGUAACCGGCGAGGUUAAGCACUUAAGGUGUGAAGCCGCAGCGAGAGCAAGUCUGAAUAGGGCGUAUGAAGUCGGUUGUAUUCGACCCGAAACCGGGUGACCUACCCAUGGUCAGGUUGAAGUAAAGGUAAAACUUUAUGGAGGACCGAACCGACUCCCGUUGAAAUGGUAGCGGAUGAACUGUGGGUAGCGGAGAAAUUCCAAUCGAACCCGGAGAUAGCUGGUUCUCCCCGAAAUAGUUUUAGGACUAGCCUCAAGUUAGAUACCUGGAGGUAAAGCACUGAAUAGCCUAGCGGCCGAGAGGUUAGCGAAGCUUAUCAAACUCAGAAUGCCAGAGUAUUGAUGCUUGGGAGUCAGACAGUGUCAGAUAAAUGUCAUUGUCAAAAGGGAAACAGCCCAGAUCUACAGCUAAGGUCCCAAAGUCAGGUUAAGUGGAAAACGAUGUGAAGAUACGCAGACAACCAGGAUGUUGGCUCAGAAGCAGCCACUCAUUCAAAGAGUGCGUAAUAGCUCACUGGUCGAGCGUCUUUGCGCGGAGAAUUUAACGGGGCUAAACCUGACACCGAAGCUUAGGCAAUACAGCAAUGUAUUGGGUAGGGGAGCGUUGUAUACGCGGUGAAACAGUAGCGCAAGCGGCUGUGGAGUGUAUAGAAGUGAGAAUGCCGGAAUGAGUAGCGCGAAUGCAGUGAGAAUCUGCAUGGCCGAAAGCCUCAGGUUUCUGGAGGAAGGUUCGUCCGCUCCAGGUUAGUCGGGAGCUAAGGUGAGGCCUAACGGCGUAGCCGAUGCACAGACGGUAGAGAUUCCGUCACCACCAAAAGAGUUAAACACAGGGACACAUAUGAAGUCUCGGAGCCGGGUGUUGGUUCCGGUAGCGAUCGAGGGAAGUUAGUACCGAAGUCCGGGAUGGAAGAUGGCGAGAAAAGCUGUGUGUAUUUCUGCGGUGCCCGUACCGCAAACCGACACAGGUAGGUAGGAAGAAGAUUCUAAGGCCAACGGGAGAAGGGUUGUUAAGGAACUCGGCAAAUUGACCCCGUAACUUCGGGAGAAGGGGUGCUCCAGAGAUGGAGCCGCAGAGAAUCGGCCCAAGCAACUGUUUACCAAAAACACAGGUUUGUGCUAAAUCGAAAGAUGACGUAUACGAGCUGACGCCUGCCCGGUGCUGGAAGGUUAAGAGGAGAUGUGCAAGCAUUGAAUCGAAGCCCCAGUGAACGGCGGCCGUAACUAUAACGGUCCUAAGGUAGCGAAAUUCCUUGUCAGGUAAG
rnacentral:rRNA from 1 species